CUCGGUCUCUCUUGUCUCAAUUUCAUGCUCUCUUCUUCUUCAAUCUCAUCACCCCCUUUCAAACCCUAACCCUAAAAUCUUCCUCCCCCAGCAAUGGCCUCCUCCCCCGACCACAACCACACCCUGAACGGCGAUUCCAACACCCACGCCUCCAAAAAGCCCAAACUCUCCUUCAUCACUCCCUCCGAAAUCGCCGCCGAAUUCUCCCACCACGACCCCACCGUCGCCCGAAUCAACAACGGCAGCUUCGGGUUCUGCCCUGACUCCGUCCUCCAGGCCCAGCGCCGCUGGUAGCUCAAGUACCUCUCCCAGCCCGAUCACUUCUACUUCAACCACCUCCAAGCCGGGCAUCAUCCACUCCCGCACCCUCAUCAAGGACCUCAUCAACGCCGACCACGUCGACGAGGUCUCCAACACAGUCAACGCCACCACCGCCACCGCCAUCGUCCUCCAGCAGGCCGCCUGGGGCUUCUCCGAGAGCAAGUUCAAGCAGGGACGUAGAGUAGUUGUACCAAAAAUGCCGCUUGGGGAAAGAGCAGGUGACAAAAGUGAGUCUCGCUACUGCGGCGUGGAGACGGAGUUCAGCGAUGACAUGCCCAACGUCCUCGCCUUCAAUCUCACCCAUGGCUCCUUCGACUUCGUCGUCGCUACUCUGAUUUCAUCAUUUGAAGUUGUACUAAGAAGAUGAAUCUGGUCCUAUAUUGACCAAGAAACCUGUGGUCAUGGAAUCCUAUGAUGAGAUUUUGUUCCCUGAGCCUUCAGAGAGUUUUUUAGCUCGUGUCCAGAAUCACCCUGCUAAAGCCUCCCCCAAAUUACCUGCUGUGCCAGUUGAAGAUCUAAGUAAAAGAAAGAGAGGUGACACAAAAGAUCAUCCCCUGACCCAGUGGUUCAUGAAUGUUUCAGAAGCUAAUGAACUUCUACAACUGGCUGUGGCUCAUCAGCAGAUGAGCAUUUCUCUCUCUGAAAUUUCUGGAUAUAUAUGAAUCUUUUGCCAUGAAUGCAUGUUAGUGCCUAUGAUUCACAUUUUUUUUUUGAGAGAGUUCUUGGGGAGAAUGGCAUAUAUAGGUGCUUUGAAACACAAACAUGGAGCUUGUGCAGCUAUGCUAAAUCCGUCAUCAGCUGAGCCUCUGGUGUGGCCAUCACCUUUGAAGUUUAUUAGUGAGCUUAAUGAGGAGGCAAAAGCUUUGUUAGAACAGGCCUUAACGGAGGCAAACAAGGAGAGGGAGAAGAAUAUCUUGAAAGGAAGCGGUUUCUCUCUUGCAUCUCCAUCGCAUUCUGAUGUGCAUUCUGAUAUAGGGAUGGAUGACAAUCUUUCUGAGACCUAUGAGUGAACGUGAUGAUAUAUUGCUGUGAGACCCCAAAUUUCAGAGUUUUGGGAGAAAAAGGAGGGUAUUGUUACAGUUGGCAUUGGUGGUCCAAACGGUUCUGGUAAAACAUGGUUGGGGUUUCUUUGCUUCACUUUAUCAAAGGAAAUGAAAGACCAAGGCUUUUGAAUAGAAGAUGAGUAGAUACUUAAAGCCUUGAAGGUGUUUGAGAUUGCAAAGGCUAUGGCUUGGGUUCCAGUUGGAGCAGACAGGAAUAAGACAUAUCUUCAUCUUAACCAAUGGAUACCAGAUGAACUUAAAUUUGAUCUGAACUGCCUUCUAUAUACACAUGGUAAGCUCUACCGCAAGUGCAUCAAGAAAGGAGGUAGCACUGGUAAGCAGCAAGAAAAGGAAUACAAGGAUAUCAAUUCCAAUUUCAUGUAUGCAAUCUGCAAUGAAGUCGUGUAAUCAACACUAGUACAUCAUGGACUAGUUAUUAGCCAUGAUGCAGUUUUCUCUGCAUCUACAACUUUGAUUUCCAUUUGAAUGGGUAGAAUUAGAAACAGUUCUGUUAUCUCAGUGAAUUACGGAGGCCAAUCGACUUUUAUAUAUGUUAAUAUUUGCUUACAGCAUCAAUUAUUGAAUUGUAU